rfam:Clostridium sp. CAG:221 genomic scaffold, scf67
UUGCAAGAUAGAGGUGCGAUACUUAUCAGUACUAUUAAGGAGCUAAGCACAAUGAUUUAAUAGGAAAGGAUUUAUCGCCGAAGUAAAUAGCCUAUGCUUUACAGCUAUUUACUGGGGAUCCAUAUAAUAUAUGUAUUCCUGUCACAUUUUUGUGGAGAGCUAUCAUUUAA